CUUCAUCCAUAAAUGUGACCCUUAAAAACCGAUCAGCUACUUCUUUGUAUUUCCUUAGAACCCUAACCCUGUUUGAAAGCUCAACUUCUGGAAGAAGACAAUAUGCUUUGGUUGGAGUAAUAACCAAUCUUCUGAUCUCAACAAUAUCAUCCAACUGUUUAGGGUUCU